AAAAGCACUUUGAAGAGAGAGUUAAAGAGGACGUGAAACCGGUAGGAUGGAAACGGAUAGAGCCAGCGAACUCGCUCGUAUUCAGCCAAAGGCUCGUGGUCGCCAGGCGUCGGGUUGCUAAUCGCGCUCGGCGUUUGUCCGGCUGCGGGCUGAGGUGCAUUUGCGGGCGUAUGCGCUGAGACUUGUGGGGCAGCUGCUGGACCCGUUCGCUAGAGGCCCUCCUCUGGAGGGAACCUUGCGUCGGCGACGGCUGUUUGCCCUGCUCGUAGAUGGUACGGCCUACGGACCUUGCCUGUGUCGUGGUUCCGCUGCGAUGGUAUCGCAUGCGAUGCCUAGCAUUGGGGCUGCGAUUCGGUCCGGUGUUCCCGUGCUUGCUCUCGGUGUAGAAGCUGGUCAUCUCUCCGACCCGUCUUGAAACACGGACCAAGGAGUUUAGCGUAUGCGCGAGUCAUUGGGUGUCGAAAACUCAUAGGCGCAAUGAAAGUAAAGGCUCGUUCGGCGGGCUGACAUGCGAGUGCAGGGGCUUCGGUUCCGGCCUGCAGCAUGGUCCCGUUCCGGUCGCUUGCGACGGAGCGGAGACAGAGC
rnacentral:rRNA from 1 species